GCUAUAGCAGUGCUACCUUGAUUGCCACUAGUAUAGCUUGGACUAAAAGCUUUAACAAUACUAAAAGUUUAGAAAAAAUUCAUAGCAGUGCAUACACGAAAAGUGUUUGGCAAACACCAUCAGCAAGUUGGGUGAAACUUAACAUUGACGGAGGUUUUUCUCUUCAUAAAUCCUGUGUUGCAGUAGGGGGUGUUCCGAAAUCAAGAUGGAGCCUGGUUACUUGGCUUUAC
rnacentral:lncRNA from 1 species